rnacentral:rRNA from 1 species
GAUGAACGCUGGCGGCGUGCCUAAUACAUGCAAGUCGAACGCUGAAGGAGGAGCUUGCUCUUCUGGAUGAGUUGCGAACGGGUGAGUAACGCGUAGGUAACCUGCCUGGUAGCGGGGGAUAACUAUUGGAAACGAUAGCUAAUACCGCAUGACAACAGUUAUUGCAUGAUAACUGUUUAAAAGGGGCAACUGCUCCACUACCAGAUGGACCUGCGUUGUAUUAGCUAGUUGGUGAGGUAACGGCUCACCAAGGCGACGAUACAUAGCCGACCUGAGAGGGUGAUCGGCCAUACUGGGACUGAGACACGGCCCAGACUCCUACGGGAGGCAGCAGUAGGGAAUCUUCGGCAAUGGACGGAAGUCUGACCGAGCAACGCCGCGUGAGUGAAGAAGGUUUUCGGAUCGUAAAGCUCUGUUGUAAGAGAAGAACGAGUGUGAGAGUGGAAAGUUCACACUGUGACGGUAUCUUACCAGAAAGGGACGGCUAACUACGUG